UACGGAGGAUGCAAGCGUUAUCCGGAAUUAUUGGGCGUAAAGCGUCCGCAGGUGGCUUUUCAAGUCUGCUGUCAAAGCCCGGAGCUUAACUCCGGCAAGGCGGUGGAAACUGAGAAGCUAGAGUGCAGUAGGGGUAGAGGGAAUUCCCGGUGUAGCGGUGAAAUGCGUAGAGUUCGGGAAGAACAUCGGUGGCGAAAGCGCUCUGCUGGACUGCAACUGACACUCGCAGGACGAAAGCUAGGGGAGCGAAUGGG
rnacentral:rRNA from 1 species